rnacentral:rRNA from 1 species
AGAGGUGGCGAGCGUUAUUCGGAAUUAUUGGGCGUAAAGGGCGCGUAGGCGGCUUGACAAGUCCCGGGUGAAAUCCCUCGGCUCAACCGAGGAACUGCCUUGGAAACUGUCUGGCUUGAGGCCGGGAGAGGGUAGUGGAAUUCCCAGUGUAGCGGUGAAAUGCGUAGAUACUGGGAGGAACACCGGUGGCGAAGGCGGCUACCUGGACCGGUUCUGACGCUGAGGCGCGAAAGCGUGGGUAGCAAAUAGGAUUAGAUACCCUGGUAGUCCACGCUGUAAACGAUGGAUGCUCGGUGCUGGGGGUAUCGACCCCUCCGGUGCCUUAGCUAACGCGUUAAGCAUCCCGCCUGGGGAGUACGGUCGCAAGGCUG